AUAGACCUCUUUACCGGAGGGCUUGUGGAGACUCCUCUUAACGGUGGGCUGGUGGGCCCAACUUUUGGUUGUAUCAUUGGGCUUCAGUUUAAUAUUCUGCGACACAGUGACCGAUUCUGGUAUGAAACUGACGAGCCACUCGUCCGAUUUACUGAAGACCAGCUGGAAGACAUCAGAAGAGUGACGUUGGCCAAGAUUAUUUGUGAUAAUUCUGAUACUAUUGACGUCAUCCAACGCUGGGCAUUCGAUCUUCCUGAUCAAUUUUUAAACCCCAGGGUUCUCUGCAAGACCCUGUCGGGCUUGAACCUGGACAAUUGGAAAGAACAAUCUUCUUGUAGUGUGGGAAACAUCCGACUUCGUCUUGGGAACCCGUGACCGCGUUUCUCCGUGUAAGAUGUGUUCCUGUACGACAGA